GCUACACACGUGCUACAAUGGACGGUACAAAGAGCUGCACAGACCGCGAGGUGGAGCUAAUCUCAUAAAACCGUUCUCAGUUCGGAUUGUAGGCUGCAACUCGCCUACAUGAAGCUGGAAUCGCUAGUAAUCGCGGAUCAGCAUGCCGCGGUGAAUACGUUCCCGGGCCUUGUACACACCGCCCCGUCACACCACGAGAGUUUGUAACACCCGAAGUCGGUGGGGUAACCUUUAUGGAGCCAGCCGCCUAAGGUGGGACAGAUGAUUGGGGUGAAGUCGUAACAAGGUAGCCGUAUCGGAAGGUGCGGUUGGAUCACCC
rnacentral:rRNA from 1 species